CCUACGGGCGGCAGCAGUGAGGAAUAUUGGUCAAUGGACGAGAGUCUGAACCAGCCAAGUAGCGUGAAGGAUGACUGCCCUAUGGGUUGUAAACUUCUUUUAUAUGGGAAUAAAAUGUUCCACGUGUGGGAUUUUGUAUGUACUUUAUGAAUAAGGAUCGGCUAACUCCGUGCCAGCAGCCGCGGUAAUACGGAGGAUCCGAGCGUUAUCCGGAUUUAUUGGGUUUAAAGGGAGCGUAGGUGGGUUGUUAAGUCAGUUGUGAAAGUUUGCGGCUCAACCGUAAAAUUGCAGUUGAUACUGGCAGUCGUGAGUACAGUUGAGGUAGGCGGAAUUCGUGGUGUAGCGGUGAAAUGCUUAGAUAUCACGAAGAACUCCGAUUGCGAAGGCAGCUCACUAGACUGCAACUGACACUGAGGCUCGAAAGUGUGGGUAUCAAACAGGAUUAGAUACCCGGGUAGUC
rnacentral:rRNA from 1 species